CCUACGGGAGGCAGCAGUGGGGAAUCUUGCGCAAUGGGCGAAAGCCUGACGCAGCAACGCCGCGUGCGGGAAGAAGGCUUUCGGGCUGUAAACCGCUUUCAGCAGGAACGAAAAUGACGGUACCUGCAGAAGAAGGAGCGGCCAACUAUGUGCCAGCAGCCGCGGUGAUACAUAGGCUUCAAGCGUUGUCCGGAUUUAUUGGGCGUAAAGAGUUCGUAGGCGGUCGAGUAAGUCGGGUGUGAAAAUUCUGGGCUCAACCCAGAGACGCCACCCGAUACUGCUUGACUUGAGUUCGAUAGGGGAGUGGGGAAUUCCUAGUGUAGCGGUGAAAUGCGCAGAUAUUAGGAGGAACACCGGUGGCGAAGGCGCCACUCUGGAUCGAUACUGACGCUGAGGAACGAAAGCAUGGGUAGCAAACAGGAUUAGAUACCCUGGUAGUCCAUGCCGUAAACGGUGGGCACUAGGUGUGGGUUUCUAUUAACGAAAUCCGCGCCGUCGCUAACGCAUUAAGUGCCCCGCCUGGGGAGGUACGGUCGCGAGACGAAACGUACGAAAGAAGUAAGUACGGCGUUGAGACGUUGCCGACGGCGACGACGAGGGAGGAGG
rnacentral:rRNA from 1 species